GUCCAGUCACGUGGUAUCACACGGACGGCCAUGUUUCCGAAACACAAACAACAAGAAGAGCAGCGACUAGGAGCCAGCAGACACAUACUGAUACGCAGCAGCGACCGUUGGAGGAGAGGGAAAAAAAAUAAAAAAUAAAAUACAGAGCACGACUUUCUAAAAGUACGAUUCUGUCGAAUGAAUAAGUUUACAGUGUUUAAAGAGACCAAUGCAUACGAUAUAUUGGCUGUAGACACACGGUGCAGACAACCAGUCUGGUAACGUUAGCUAUAAACAGUGAAGUGGUGCAAAGGGAGGAGGACAGGAAAUAAAGGAGUUACCUGGAGGGUCUCCGUCAAUCCACAUUUCAGUUGGAGCGAG